AGGAAGAGCAGAUCGACGGCUUCAUCAUCUCCCUCUCGACUUUCUCCUCCGCACGGCCGUUGGUUCUCAUCUCAUUGUGAAUCGCCUACAGACAACCGAUAGAAGCUCGUCAUCUCUGUCCGUCUCUGUCUGAAGGUCGCCUCUCGCCACGACGUGAAUCUCUGUCUAAAGCUCGUCCUCACCACACCGUCCGUCUAUCUGAAGGUCACCUUUACGCCGACCACUUCCAUCUCCCUAAUCAACCUCAGGUGGUUUUUGAAAAAUUUUGACAACAGUCUUCUGUGGAAGGACUAGGUUUAAGGAAGAAGAUUUGAAGCUAGAGUACUUUUUGGUGUAUAAAAGGUACUUACACAAGCCUGCUGAAGCAAGGAAAAUCACCAAGCAAGUUAUUUAUCCUUUUUUUUUUUUGUUGAUAAUGCCAAUUAUUUGGUUAUAAUGACUAGA